rnacentral:misc_RNA from 1 species
GAUAUUCAAUGUUCUGAGGUUGGGGAGGGACAGGCCCACUUCAGGAAACGACCUUAGACCAGAGCAAUAAUUUAUAGAUAAUUCAGUGAGACAGGAGAGGCUGUUAAGGCACUCAGGCAAGCUUUUCAGAAUGGUACAGCUCCAAAUAUUAUUGUAUUCAAUUGAUGUAUUGUCGUGCAGCAUCCUUUUUGGAAGUGGCUCCAGUUGUGAGCAGUCUGAGAUCUUAAGUGUUUUAAGUUGAAAAGGUAAUUUUCCUGAUGGGGAGGAUGUUAAAGAUGGACAACUAAUGAUCUCCAAGUGUUCCAGAUGAGACAUGUUAUUCCUGCUUAUUAAUCCCUCAGGCAGAGACUGGAGUUUUGUACAGCAUCGGAUUUUCAACACUUUCAGCG